ACGCUCGACACCUACGGGAGCAGCAGUGGGGAAUAUUGGGCAAUGGGCGAAAGCCUGACCCAGCAACGCCGCGUGAGGGAAGAAGGUUUUCGGAUUGUAAACCUCUGUCCUCAGGGACGAAGGACGUGACGGUACCUGAGGAGGAAGCCCCGGCUAACUACGUGCCAGCACGCCGCGGUAAUCUGAGGCGGGCUGGACGAAGGC
rnacentral:rRNA from 1 species